rnacentral:rRNA from 1 species
UACGGAGGGUGCGAGCGUUGCUCGGAAUUAUUGGGCGUAAAGGGUAGGUAGGUGGUCUCAUUUGUCUGAGGUGAAAUCCUUGGGCUUAACUUAAGAAGUGCCUCAGAAACGGUGAGACUAGAGUCCUGGAGAGGGUCGUGGAAUUCCCGGUGUAGCGGUGAAAUGCGUAGAGAUCGGGAGGAACACCAGAGGCGAAAGCGGCGACCUGGACAGGAACUGACACUCAACUACGAAAGCGUGGGGAGCAAACAGG